rnacentral:tRNA from 1 species
UCCCCGAUAGCUCAGUUGGUAGAGCAAGCGACUGUUAAUCGCUUUGUCCCUGGUUCGAGUCCAGGUCGGGGAGCCA